GAUGAAGAACGUAGUGAAAUGCGAUAAGUAAUGUGAAUUGCAGAAUUCAGUGAAUCAUCGAAUCUUUGAACGCACAUUGCGCCCCCCAGUAUUCUGGCGGGCAUGCCUGUUCGAGCGUCAUUUCAACCAUCAAGCCCUGCUUGUGUUGGGGUCCUGCGGCUGCCCGCAGGCCCUGAAAACCAGUGGCGGGCUCGCUAGUCACACCGAGCGCAGUAGCACAUCUCGCUCAGGGCGUGCGGCGGGCUCCAGCCGUUAAAGCACCCACCUUUCGCAAGGUUGACCUCGGAUCAGGUAGGAAUACCCGCUGAACUUAAGCAUAUAAAUAAGCGGAGGA
rnacentral:misc_RNA from 1 species